UGGGGAAUAUUGGACAAUGGGGGCAACCCUGAUCCAGCAAUUCUGUGUGCACGAAGAAGGUUUUCGGAUUGUAAAGUGCUUUCAGCAGGGAAGAAGAAAGUGACGGUACCUGCAGAAGAAGCGACGGCUAAAUACGUGCCAGCAGCCGCGGUAAUACGUAUGUCGCAAGCGUUAUCCGGAAUUAUUGGGCAUAAAGGGCAUCUAGGCGGCCAGACAAGUCUGGGGUGAAAACUUGCGGCUCAACCGCAAGCCUGCCCUGGAAACUGUUUGGCUAGAGUGCUGGAGAGGUGGACGGAACUGCACGAGUAGAGGUGAAAUUCGUAGAUAUGUGCAGGAAUGCCGAUGAUGAAGAUAGUUCACUGGACGGUAACUGACGCUGAAGUGCGAAAGCUGGGGGAGCGAACAGGAUUAGAUACCCUGGUA
rnacentral:rRNA from 1 species